GGAGCCCCCUGACCCCUUCUUCCAAACAUACUCUUUUGUCUUUAUGUUUAUUCCUGCACUCGUCCCCCUUUGUUCAGUCCAACAGGGAUUGGGGCUGCGUCAAAGUGGUGCCUGAACAGGGACUUCAAGGACGCGAAUGAAGAAGGUCCGUUGGAGCAGAGGAAGUGAAACUGACAAGAUGAACGGGGACCUCGGGAGGAGUCUGCCAACAGCAGAUAUAAGGACAGUGCCCUAAAGAAGUACUGUUCAGUGCCCUAAAGAGGUACUGGGAAUGAUAUAAGGGCUGAGCUCCAGAUUUCAGAGGUUUCUUUAUAAACAUCAGUAAUUUUUUGAGUUUGACAAGAUCACAGCAGUGCCAUGAAGCCAUCUGAAGCAUCGAGGCUCAGGUUACCUCUUUGGCAUGGCUCAAAUGCCUACAAGGACCAAUGAAACUGGAGCAACAAAUAUAAGCAAAACAACAGCGAGUGCAAGAGGACACAGCAAAUUAGA
rnacentral:lncRNA from 1 species